GAAAAUUUGCCAAAUGUCCUCCUCUCAUUUUCUCUCAGAAAAACCUAAUACAGAUCCACAAUUGUUGUCCACUCUCUGAUCUUAACAUGGUAUCAGAGCCAUGAAAUCAUCGAUCCUUCACCUCGUAGUUUUAGCUGUGUUGAUUUUGGAGAUCUUAUUCUAUUAAAUACUGAAUUUUUUCUUCAUUUGGUCUUAGCGGUCAAAGUUUUUCGAUUUGUUGUCUUUUUUACUGGUUUCGUUGCUCGCCUACAUUGGAAUUUCAUCAAAAUCUAAGGAAUUUGUGGCGAUUCUUUCUUCAAUCAGAGUUUUUGGAGGAUUUUGUUCGAAGCUAG
rnacentral:lncRNA from 1 species